UACGAAGGGUGCAAGCGUUAAUCGGAAUUACUGGGCGUAAAGGGUGCGUAGGCGGUUCGUUAAGUCUGUCGUGAAAUCCCCGGGCUCAACCUGGGAAUGGCGAUGGAUACUGGCGAGCUAGAGUGUGUCAGAGGAUGGUGGAAUUCCCGGUGUAGCGGUGAAAUGCGUAGAGAUCGGGAGGAACACCAGUGGCGAGGGCGGCCUUCUGGACCAAUACUGACGCUCAUGCACGAAAGCGUGGGGAGCAAACAGG
rnacentral:rRNA from 1 species